rnacentral:rRNA from 1 species
UUAGAUUUUAUUUAUUAAUAUUUAUUUAUUUAUUUAUUUAUUUAAUAAAAAUAAUUUUAUAAUUUUUUGUUUAAGUAUUUUUUAAAGAAAAAAUAAUUUUAAUAAUAGUUUAUUAGUAUUGUAUAAGAAAAUUGAAAUAAUUUGAAAAAUUUUUAUUUAAAAAGAAAAUUUAAUUUAUUGUACCUUGUGUAUCAGGGUUUAUUAAAUAAUUAAUUAUUAUAUUAAUUUUUCUCGAAUUUUAAAGAUUUAAUUAUAUAUAAAAGUUACUGUGGAAUAAUUAUUUUUAAUAUAUAAUUAGAAAUGAAAUGUUAAUCGUUUUAAAAUAUAUCUAGUUUUUUAAGAAAUAAAUUUAAUUUAGAUUUAUAAAUUAAAUGUAUUAAUUGUGUAAUAUAUUUAAUUUAUAAAAUUAAUAUUUUAAGGGAUUAGCUUUAAAAUAAAUUUUUAAAUUUAAAAUUAAUUAUUUAAUAAAUGUAAGCUUAAAAAUAGUUAUCAUUAAUAAAUUUGUUAUAAUUUAUUUUAAAAAUUUUAUUAUUUAUUAUUAAAUUAAAUUAUUUAUUAAAAUAUAAAUUUUAUUGAUAUAAAUUUAUAAAUUAUGAUAAAAUUAGUAUAUAAAUUUUUACAAAUUAUUUAAAAUGAAAGGUUUAAAUAAGGAAUUCGGCAAAAUUUAUAUUCACCUGUUUAUCAAAAACAUGUCUUUUUGAAUUAAAUUUAAAGUCUAACCUGCCCACUGAUAUUUAUUAAAGGGCCGCAGUAUUUUGACUGUGCGAAGGUAGCAUAAUCAAUAGUCUUUUAAUUGAAGGCUUGUAUGAAUGGUUGAAUGAGAUAUAUACUGUCUUUUUUAAAAUUAUAUAGAAUUUUAUUUUUUAAUUAAAAAGUUAAAAUAAAAUUAAAGGACGAGAAGACCCUAUAGAUCUUUAUUUUUAUUAUUUAUAAAUUAAUAAGAAUUAAUAAAUUUAUAGAUUAAUUAAAAAUUUUACUGGGGUGGUAUUAAAAUUUAAUAAACUUUUAUUAAUUAUUUACAUUAAUAUAUGAAUAUUUGAUCCAAUUUUAUUGAUUAAAAGUUUAAGUUACCUUAGGGAUAACAGCGUAAUUUUUUUUUAGAGUUCAUAUCGACAAAAAAGAUUGCGACCUCGAUGUUGGAUUAAGAGUUAUUUUUAGGUGUAGAAGUUUAAAGUUUAGGUCUGUUCGACCUUUGAAUUCUUACAUGAUCUGAGUUCAAACCGGCGUAAGCCAGGUUGGUUUCUAUCCUUAAUUAAUUAUUAUAUUAUAGUACGAAAGGACCUAAUAUAAAAAAUAUAAAUUUUAAAAUUAUGAAUUAUAUUAAUAAUAAAUAA